GUGCGAUGAAGAUCCCGAACUCUCUCACUGAAUAGUCUAUGUGGUCUACCUACAUUAUCAGAGCACA
rnacentral:snoRNA from 1 species